AUUGAACGCUGGCGGCAUGCCUUACACAUGCAAGUCGAACGGCAGCACGGGAGCAAUCCUGGUGGCGAGUGGCGAACGGGUGAGUAAUAUAUCGGAACGUGCCCAGUCGUGGGGGAUAACGUAGCGAAAGCUACGCUAAUACCGCAUACGAUCUAUGGAUGAAAGCGGGGGAUCGCAAGACCUCGCGCGAUUGGAGCGGCCGAUAUCAGAUUAGGUAGUUGGUGAGGUAAAGGCUCACCAAGCCGACGAUCUGUAGCUGGUCUGAGAGGACGACCAGCCACACUGGGACUGAGACACGGCCCAGACUCCUACGGGAGGCAGCAGUGGGGAAUUUUGGACAAUGGGCGCAAGCCUGAUCCAACAAUGCCGCGUGCAGGAUGAAGGCCUUCGGGUUGUAAACUGCUUUUGUACGGAACGAAACGGUGAGCUCUAAUACAGUUUGCUAAUGACGGUACCGUAAGAAUAAGCACCGGCUAACUACGUG
rnacentral:rRNA from 1 species